UACAGAGGGUGCGAGCGUUAAUCAGAAUUACUGGGCGUAAAGGGCGCGUAGGUGGUUACUUAAGUCAGAUGUGAAAUCCCUGGGCUUAACCUAGGAAUUGCAUUUGAAACUGAGUAGCUAGAGUAUGGUAGAGGGAAGUGGAAUUUCCGGUGUAGCGGUGAAAUGCGUAGAUAUCGGAAGGAACACCAGUGGCGAAGGCGACUUCCUGGACCAUUACUGACACUGAGGCGCGAAAGCGUGGGGAGCGAACAGG
rnacentral:rRNA from 1 species